rnacentral:rRNA from 1 species
AUUGAACGCUGGCGGUAGGCCUAACACAUGCAAGUCGAGCGGAGCGGCGGACGGGUGAGUAAUGCCUAGGAAUCUGCCUGGUAGUGGGGGAUAACGUCCGGAAACGGGCGCUAAUACCGCAUACUAUCAGAUGAGCCUCGGUCGGAUUAGCUAGUUGGUGGGGUAAAGGCCGACCAGGGCGACGACCCGUAACUGGGCUGAGAGGAUGAUCAGUCACACUGGAACUGAGACACGUACAAGACUCAUACGGGGGGUAGCAGUGGGGAAUAGUGGACAAUGGGCGAAAACCUGAACCAGCCAUGCCGCGUGUGUGAAGAAGGUCUUCGGAUUGUAAAGCACUUUAAGUUGGGAGGCGUUACCAGCAGAAUAAGCACCGGCUAACUUCGUGCCAGCAGCCGCGGUAAUUC